AUUGAACGCUGGCGGCAGGCCUAACACAUGCAAGUCGAACGAGUGGCGGACGGGUGAGUAAUGUAUGGGAAAUUGCCUGAUGGAGGGGGAUACCUACUGGAAACGGUAGCUAAUACCGCAUACCUUCCGUGGUGCCCAGAUGGGAUUAGCUGGUGGGUGGGGUAACGGCUCACCCAGGCGACAGUCCCUAGCUGGUCGGAGAGGAUGACCCGCCACACUGGAACUGAGACACGGUCCAGACUCCUACGGGAGGCAGCAGUGGGGAAUAUUGCACAAUGGGCGCAAGCCUGAUGCAGCCAUGCCGCGUGUAUGAAGAAGGCCUUCGGGUUGUAAAGUACUUUCAGCGGGGAGGCGUUACCCGCAGAAGAAGCACCGGCUAACUCCGUGCCAGCAGCCGCGGUAAUAC
rnacentral:rRNA from 1 species